rnacentral:rRNA from 1 species
UAAACACGUGGGUAACCUGCCCUAAAGUCUGGGAUACCACUUGGAAACAGGUGCUAAUACCGGAUAACAACAAUAGCUGCAUGGCUAUUGCUUAAAAGGCGGCGAAAGCUGUCGCUAAAGGAUGGACCCGCGGUGCAUUAGCUAGUUGGUAAGGUAAUGGCUUACCAAGGCGACGAUGCAUAGCCGAGUUGAGAGACUGAUCGGCCACAUUGGGACUGAGACACGGCCCAAACUCCUACGGAAGGCAGCAG